AAAGGUUAUAAAACCGUGCCGAAGACAGUAGGUGCGAAAUCAGAAGAUUCUGGUUUUGCGUAAGGGUACCGCCUACCGAGGAGAAGAGUUUUUAUGAUAUGACUUUUACCUCUUGAAGUGUGUUUUGGCAUAUUUUGAGAGGUUUUUUAUUAUUAUA
rfam:Lachnospiraceae bacterium A4 genomic scaffold acPFC-supercont1.11, whole genome shotgun sequence.